GUCGAACGAACCUUCGGGUUAGUGGCGGACGGGUGAGUAACGCGUGGGAAUCUGCCCUCAGGAGGGGGAUAACGGUUGGAAACGACCGCUAAUACCCCAUAUGCCGUAAGGUGAAAUGAAUUUCGCCUGAGGAUGAGCCCGCGUCUGAUUAGCUAGUUGGUAAGGUAAUGGCUUACCAAGGCUUCGAUCAGUAGCUGGUCUGAGAGGAUGAUCAGCCACACUGGGACUGAGACACGGCCCAGACUCCUACGGGAGGCAGCAGUGGGGAAUUUUCCGCAAUGGGCGAAAGCCUGACGGAGCAACGCCGCGUGAGGGACGAAGGCCUCUGGGCUGUAAACCUCUUUUCUCAAGGAAGAAGAUAUGACGGUACUUGAGGAAUAAGCCACGGCUAAUUCCGUGCCAGCAGCCGCGGUAAUACGGGAGUGGCAAGCGUUAUCCGGAAUUAU
rnacentral:rRNA from 1 species